GUGUUCGUAGAAAGGAGAGACAGUUGGCAUCUCCUGACAGGGACGGGAACGGCUUUCGGGCUUUCCUGUAACACAUACGGUCAAUUGACUAACAAUUAUAGUAAAAAAUUAUUUACUAUUUUUUUUA